rnacentral:piRNA from 1 species
GUGGCAUGUUUGUUCUUCCCGAUCCGGUG